GUCUGGUAUUUUGAGUGUUUCCAUUGUGAAACGGACCCAUCAAACUGUAGGGGUGUAGAGAAAAUUUGAUUUGGUGAUAUAUUGUGAUGAUUUUCACGUUACUUAUUCACAAGGAUUUAAAUAAAAUACUAAGAAAUGCAAUUUAAAUCUUAUUUUUUCUUAUAUAUGUCCUCCAUUGUUAAAAGAACAUGUUAAAGACUCAAUUUUAAUUGAAACUGGGUUUUGAAAUUACCAAAAGUAUGUUUUUUUUAAUGGUUUCACAUCAUGUUAUAUUUAACUGUGCACUUUAUAGACAGCUUUGGAAAAUGUCCACAGCAUUUCCGCUUCAACAUCAACCUUACACUUACAUUUAGACUUUCGACUCACAACAGUAACAGAAGAUGUUAUAAACCAGGUCAAUUAUUUCCUAAUUACUUCUCAGAGGGUCAGGGAUUUAUUCUUUAAACUACUUCUUUUUCCAUCUUCCAUUUAAUUGUGUUCUGAAAAUGGGCUUUAAAGAAAAGUUCCUUUUAGUCUUUAGAUAGUUUUGAUCUGCCUCUGUUUGUUCACAUCUAUAAUCUGGGCCUGACUUGACUUCUUUAAACUUUGUAUCCUUGCUGUCGUUGUGGCCAUAAACGUAUCAGCGAGCAGCUGAAGAUGCACUCCUGCACACCUCAUCAUUCUGCACACAUUCACACCUUUUCAAUUGUUGUAUGUCCUUUGGAAGUACCUCAGAGAAUUGGUGGCAUCUUGUCUUAAACGCUCACUCUUGACAUUGUUGAUGCACAAAUAGUCUAAAGAAAGGAAAAUAUAGCCGUAAUUGAAUUGUCAACCUUUCGUUGGAGGUCAUAAAAUCUGUGUAUACCAAAAGUGAACACACCUUCUGGGCAUCCUAUUACACUUACCGCAUUUAAAUGACAUGCAAAUGUCCAGGACUGAGAUAGGGCUUCUCCCAUAGAAGGAAAUCUCACCACUUACUGUACUCUAUUGUACUCUUGCCUCCUUUGUUGCUACGGCAAUAUUUUCCUCCCCCAGACUCUGGUUACAACAUCAUUAUUUUUGUGAGAAAAUGUAGGAAAAGUGAAUCUACAGAAAAGCAGAAAUGUGUUCAUCGUUUUCUGAGCAAAUGGGGGAAUUUAUGCUUUUUACAACAUCAUGUCAGCAAUGGGGAACUUUAUGUUCGUCGGAUUUUGUUGCUAUUUGCAAAAAAUCAAUUAAAAACAAAAAAAGAGUAAAAUGAAAACACAAACUCUAAGCGGAAAAAAUAAGGAAAUGAAAAACGAUACACAUGACACACCACCACAAGUAAGUUCUUACAUUUCCACCAAUCUAAAGGCUCUUCUCUUUUGGAAAGUUGAACCAUUGCAUUUUUAAUUUUGAAUGAAUGUUUGAAUAGUCUGCAGAGGAGCCAGUUUAGUUGCUGAGGAAAAGGGAAGUUAAAAAAAGGAAGUUAGUGUUGAACCGAGUGAGUGGGAUCCAGUUGAAGAGUCUAGAUUUGUGUGCCUCCUCUCACCAUGGCCCACAUCUUUUACAUCUCUCAUCUUCAUUGUAUUCAUGAUGCAACUGAGAGUAAUGGCUGCUUCUGCUUCAAGAUUCAAUCUCUCAUCAGCAGAAAAUAGCUGCUAGUGAGGUGACAAUGGGUGGCUUUCCACUCUGCUCCGUCUACCUUCCCUAUUUACUUCUACUUUUCUAAAAAAAAUACCUCCUACUUUUGUGUUGACCUAGUGAGCCUAUAGAACCAAAAGAGUAAUUUUGCAUUGGAAGUAUUUCACAGAAAAUCUUGUGUUGAGAAUUCCUAGAAGUAGUCUGAGUCAGACAGCUGUUUAAGCAUUUGUACUAAAAAAAUCUUCCGUUUAAACUAGAGCUUUUUAUUCAGCCAAGCAAACCAGUAAAUCUGUAAAUUAACUGAUGAUUUAACUGCUUUAGAAAAAAAAUGGUUUAAAGAAGAUUUUCAGAGAAAAUGUCUGUCAAAUUUGUUUCUCAGCUUUAGUCUGGAAGAGUGUAAAAAUAGUGUUUUUGGAGUCAAGUACUCAAAGGAGGGUUAUAAAGUGUUAAAUACUGAAUAUGCACUAGGCACCUCACAGCUUUAAUGCGGAUGUAAUUGGACGCAGUAGAGCUUUUGCAGUCUUUUCGCUGGGUGCUAAUGAAAUCCUGUCACUGUCACUGUGGCUAAUGUGUAGCAGGUGUAUAGUAUUAGCAUAUGUUACCGAGCUUUUUAGUUUCUCAUCCCUAUAUUUGAUUAGAACUGAAGAACCUUAGCUGAGGUGUUAAUGUUACUUCCGUCAGUGUUUAUCAGAGAAGUGUUAGAAAAAAAAAUCUAUUGAAAAUGUAUUGACAGCUGCAAGAAAAAGUAUGUGAACCCUUUGAGUUUACUUUUGAAUAUAUUCUGAUCUUCAUCUAAGUCUUCUUAAACUAAUGCAUCACAAAAAAUGUAAGUUUUUGUGUUUUUAUUGAGCAAAAUAUGUAACAUUAAAUGUUCAGGGUGGAAAAACUAUGUGAACCCUUGGCAGUAAGGAGAUCAGAACUUUUGGGCCAAGUAUUGAUUUUCUCUACUUGAUCUGAAAUAUGUAGCACUGAUAACUGGAUUAAUGCAAUUAGAUGUUCUAAAGAUAAUUAAUGAUUAUCACACAUAGUGUGGAUCAUUAAUGUAUGUGAGAAUUAGUUUAGAGAAUAUCAAUAAGCACUCUAUUGUUACUUGAAAACCUGAUUUUCAAUGUUUAAUAAUUGUUUUUCUGGAUUUAUUUACAAUUAUAUUUUGAUAAUAAUCAAUGAGUUUUAUGUACCUGUUAUGUGAUGUAUGAUUGAUGUUACUGUUUACUGAAAUCAUGAAACAAUGUUUUAUGAUUAAUCAACAAGCCCUUCUUCACUAAAAAAAAAACAUGAAAAAAAAAAAAAAACUUGCAUUUGAUGUGAUAAGAACCGGAUUACAUAACUCUGCAAAACUGUAAAAUGAGGUAACUAAGUAGGGGUGAAACAUAUUUUAUGACAAAUUCAUACAGAAAUGCAAGUAAUCCCAAAAGGUUCACAUAUUUAUUAUUGCAACUGUAGAUCGUCUUAUAAUUUUACCUUUUAUUCCAUAAAGAUUUGGUAAAUAACAUGUACUUAUGUAUUACUUUUCUACUUUCAUUUGCACGAAUGGACAUGCAUAUUAUAGCAAAAUCUAUGCAGAGCAACAAAAGAUUUAAAAAUGACCUCCAUAAUCAGUAGAACAGAAAAAUAUAAAACUUAAGAUCUUUUUGUGAUGACAGCAGUACAUAAGGACCUUAUUUAACAACUUCUUUGUCCUGGUAAUAAAAGUUUUAAGGAAAUCAAUGCAGUCUUUUAUAUAUAGAAACGCUGUACUUUGCAAACGAUCCCCCUAUUGAGAACAAAAUCACACCUCCUGAAACAUGCCAUUGAGUUUAAUCAGUGCAGUGAUCGCACAUUCUUCAAAACAACUCUUGCAAAGAAAAUGCCUAUUAUUUGAAUGUAUUUUUUUCCCAAAGUAAAGCUGCGUGUCCGGAAUAGGCAAAUACCUGUAUUUCUUUUUGAUCAAAUACAGAUAACUGCUGAGGCAUUUCAAUCGGCAUGCUUUUAAUGUGUGAGGAAACAUUUCUAAACCCUGUCGGACUGUGUGUUGAUGCUAUUAUCUGUCCACAUAGGAACACUUUUAACCGCAGUGACUAACGUGUGUGCGUGUGUGUGUGUGUGUGUGAACAACUGAUUGCAAAGCACUAACGCUCAAACACACAUGCUGAACUGCAGGGAACUGCACUAUUUCUGAUAAAUGUGUCAGGAUUUGAUUGCAAUUGUUGCUGAAAAACAGCUUUUAGGUGAACUGUGAUUGGGAUUUAGUCAUCUGUCAUUUGCAUUUAAUGCUUCGGUUUGCUAAUGUCUGUGUGCGUUGUGAUUUGUGUGCGUGUGUGUUUUCUUUGCCCAACACUUCAAGGUGAGGCCAGUUUCACUUAAGCGGAUUCCAUGAAGCCACUUCUGCCCGCAUCAACACAAGGACAGGUAAAGCAAGGACAGGUCUGAACUUGCAAUUAAGAAGGAAAGUUCAUCUAGAAGUCAGAGAGAUUAUAGGAGUUGGUGAAUUCUAUCACAGUUACUUCAAGAUGAAAGCAGCUGGACUCUGGACAGUUCACCGGGCUAUUGAAACGCCAUACAGAGAAGCACACUCUCAAUCAUACCUAAAAGACAAAAUAGAGCAGGGGAGCGCAAACGUUUUGACUUGUAGGCCACAAAGGGCUCUAAAAUUUGACAGAAGGGCUAGACCAGGACCAGGACAUCAAUCUACGAGGUGUUUCUGGGUGUUUUCUUCCCACACGUUUUGUGAGGAUACAUCGACAUCCCUGUGAAAGGUGUCGUUUUUCAGGCAGCAUGUGUUGCUCUAAACCUCCGUAUAAACCUUACAGACUUGUGAUGGCAGUGUUGAUAGUGCUGCUUUCAUUCAGCUUCUGCAGGACAGUGUUCAUUUCCUCAAAAAAAAAAAAAGAAAAAACUCUGGGAUCUGGAAAAAGUGAUCUGAAAAACAUUUCUGCUAUGUGACGGUCUGCCCUGGUUAAUCUGUUUUUUGUUAAUCAUAGUGUUACAGACCUGCUCCAAUGAGUAUUGUGUUUUUUUAAACAUGUUU